AUUGUUCUAUUAUGUAUAUUUUUACUUAAAAAUACACCAAGCAUCCAAUUAUAGAAGGUAAGUAGAAAUACAAGAAUAAUCCUAUUAAAUCUAAUAGAAUCUUAAAUAACCUUAAAUGAAACUUAAUAAUCUUGAUUAAACUUUGACCAAUUCAAAAAUAAAUUUAAAAUAUAUUAUAAAAAAAUACAAAGAAUCUUAAAAAAUAAUAAAAAUAAAAAUCCUAAUAUAAUUUUAAUUAAAAUCCUAAUUUAAUCUUAAUCAAAUCCAAGAUCAAAUCCUAAGUCAAGCCCUAAUUGAAAUCUUUAUUGAACCUUAACCAAAUCUUAGGUCAAAUCUUAUUAAAAUCCCAAUUUAAUCUUAACUAAAUUCUAACUCAAAUCCUAAUCAAAUACUAAUCAAAUCCUAAAGCCUAAAAAAGUUCUAUAUUAAAUUCUAAGCAAAUCUUGGACCAAAUUCCGAAACCAAACCCUAAUC
rnacentral:lncRNA from 1 species